rnacentral:rRNA from 1 species
GGUUAAGUUAGAAAGGGCGCACGGUGGAUGCCUUGACACUAGGAGUCGAUGAAGGACGGGACUAACGCCGAUAUGCUUCGGGGAGCUGUAAGUAAGCUUUGAUCCGAAGAUUUCCGAAUGGGGAAACCCACCAUACGUAAUGGUAUGGUAUCCUUAUCUGAAUACAUAGGGUAAGGAAGACAGACCCAGGGAACUGAAACAUCUAAGUACCUGGAGGAAGAGAAAGCAAAUGCGAUUUCCUGAGUAGCGGCGAGCGAAACGGAACAUAGCCCAAACCAAGAGGCUUGCCUCUUGGGGUUGUAGGACAUUCUAUACGGAGUUACAAAGGAACGAGGUAGACGAAGCGACCUGGAAAGGUCCGUCGUAGAGGGUAACAACCCCGUAGUCGAAACUUCGUUCUCUCUUGAAUGUAUCCUGAGUACGGCGGAACACGUGAAAUUCCGUCGGAAUCUGGGAGGACCAUCUCCCAAGGCUAAAUACUCCCUAGUGAUCGAUAGUGAACCAGUACCGUGAGGAAAAGGUGAAAAGCACCCCGGAAGGGGAGUGAAAGAGAUCCUGAAACCGUGUGCCUACAAAUAGUCAGAGCCCGUUAACGGGUGAUGGCGUGCCUUUUGUAGAAUGAACCGGCGAGUUACGAUCCCGUGCGAGGUUAAGCUGAAGAGGCGGAGCCGCAGCGAAAGCGAGUCUGAAUAGGGCGUUUAGUACGUGGUCGUAGACCCGAAACCAGGUGAUCUACCCAUGUCCAGGGUGAAGUUCAGGUAACACUGAAUGGAGGCCCGAACCCACGCACGUUGAAAAGUGCGGGGAUGAGGUGUGGGUAGCGGAGAAAUUCCAAUCGAACCUGGAGAUAGCUGGUUCUCCCCGAAAUAGCUUUAGGGCUAGCCUUAAGUGUAAGAGUCUUGGAGGUAGAGCACUGAUUGGACUAGGGGUCCUCAUCGGAUUACCGAAUUCAGUCAAACUCCGAAUGCCAAUGACUUAUCCUUAGGAGUCAGACUGCGAGUGAUAAGAUCCGUAGUCAAAAGGGAAACAGCCCAGACCGCCAGCUAAGGUCCCAAAGUGUGUAUUAAGUGGAAAAGGAUGUGGAGUUGCUUAGACAACUAGGAUGUUGGCUUAGAAGCAGCCACCAUUUAAAGAGUGCGUAAUAGCUCACUAGUCGAGUGACUCUGCGCCGAAAAUGUACCGGGGCUAAAUACACCACCGAAGCUGCGGAUUGAUACCAAUGGUAUCAGUGGUAGGGGAGCGUUCUAAGGACAGUGAAGUCAGACCGGAAGGACUGGUGGAGUGCUUAGAAGUGAGAAUGCCGGUAUGAGUAGCGAAAGACGGGUGAGAAUCCCGUCCACCGAAUGCCUAAGGUUUCCUGAGGAAGGCUCGUCCGCUCAGGGUUAGUCAGGACCUAAGCCGAGGCCGACAGGCGUAGGCGAUGGACAACAGGUUGAUAUUCCUGUACCACCUCUUUAUCGUUUGAGCAAUGGAGGGACGCAGAAGGAUAGAAGAAGCGUGCGAUUGGUUGUGCACGUCCAAGCAGUUAGGCUGAUAAGUAGGCAAAUCCGCUUAUCGUAAAGGCUGAGCUGUGAUGGGGAAGCUCCUUAUGGAGCGAAGUCUUUGAUUCCCCGCUGCCAAGAAAAGCUUCUAGCGAGAUAAAAGGUGCCUGUACCGCAAACCGACACAGGUAGGCGAGGAGAGAAUCCUAAGGUGUGCGAGAGAACUCUGGUUAAGGAACUCGGCAAAAUGACCCCGUAACUUCGGGAGAAGGGGUGCUUUCUUAACGGAAAGCCGCAGUGAAUAGGCCCAAGCGACUGUUUAGCAAAAACACAGCUCUCUGCGAAGCCGUAAGGCGAAGUAUAGGGGGUGACACCUGCCCGGUGCUGGAAGGUUAAGGAGAGGGGUUAGCGUAAGCGAAGCUCUGAACUGAAGCCCCAGUAAACGGCGGCCGUAACUAUAACGGUCCUAAGGUAGCGAAAUUCCUUGUCGGGUAAGUUCCGACCCGCACGAAAGGUGUAACGAUUUGGGCACUGUCUCAACCAGAGACUCGGUGAAAUUAUAGUACCUGUGAAGAUGCAGGUUACCCGCGACAGGACGGAAAGACCCCGUGGAGCUUUACUGUAGCCUGAUAUUGAAUUUUGGUACAGUUUGUACAGGAUAGGCGGGAGCCAUUGAAACCGGAGCGCUAGCUUCGGUGGAGGCGCUGGUGGGAUACCGCCCUGACUGUAUUGAAAUUCUAACCUACGGGUCUUAUCGACCCGGGAGACAGUGUCAGGUGGGCAGUUUGACUGGGGCGGUCGCCUCCUAAAGUGUAACGGAGGCGCCCAAAGGUUCCCUCAGAAUGGUUGGAAAUCAUUCGUAGAGUGCAAAGGCAUAAGGGAGCUUGACUGCGAGACCUACAAGUCGAGCAGGGACGAAAGUCGGGCUUAGUGAUCCGGUGGUUCCGCAUGGAAGGGCCAUCGCUCAACGGAUAAAAGCUACCCCGGGGAUAACAGGCUUAUCUCCCCCAAGAGUCCACAUCGACGGGGAGGUUUGGCACCUCGAUGUCGGCUCAUCGCAUCCUGGGGCUGUAGUCGGUCCCAAGGGUUGGGCUGUUCGCCCAUUAAAGCGGUACGCGAGCUGGGUUCAGAACGUCGUGAGACAGUUCGGUCCCUAUCCGUCGUGGGCGUAGGAAAUUUGAGAGGAGCUGUCCUUAGUACGAGAGGACCGGGAUGGACGCACCGCUGGUGUACCAGUUGUUCUGCCAAGGGCAUAGCUGGGUAGCUAUGUGCGGAAGGGAUAAGUGCUGAAAGCAUCUAAGCAUGAAGCCCCCCUCAAGAUGAGAUUUCCCAUAGCGUAAGCUAGUAAGAUCCCUGAAAGAUGAUCAGGUUGAUAGGUUCGAGGUGGAAGCAUGGUGACAUGUGGAGCUGACGAAUACUAAUAGAUCGAGGACUUAACCAU